rnacentral:rRNA from 1 species
GAUGAACGCUGGCGGCGUGCCUAAUACAUGCAAGUCGAGCGAAUGGAUUAAGAGCUUGCUCUUAUGAAGUUAGCGGCGGACGGGUGAGUAACACGUGGGUAACCUGCCCAUAAGACUGGGAUAACUCCGGGAAACCGGGGCUAAUACCGGAUAAUAUUUUGAACUGCAUGGUUCAAAUUUGAAAGGCGGCUUCGGCUGUCACUUAUGGAUGGACCCGCGUCGCAUUAGCUAGUUGGUGAGGUACAGGCUCACCAAGGCAACGAUGCGUAGCCGACCUGAGAGGGUGAUCGGCCACACUGGGACUGAGACACGGCCCAGACUCCUACGGGAGGCAGCAGUAGGGAAUCUUCCGCAAUGGACGAAAGUCUGACGGAGCAACGCCGCGUGAGUGAUGAAGGCUUUCGGGUCGUAAAACUCUGUUGUUAGGGAAGAACAAGUGCUAGUUGAAUAAGCUGGCACCUUGACGGUACCUAACCAGAAAGCCACGGCUAACUACGUGCCAGCCGCCGCAGUAA